rnacentral:rRNA from 1 species
GAAUAGGGCGUUUAGUAUUUGGUCGUAGACCCGAAACCAGGUGAUCUACCCUUGGUCAGGUUGAAGUUCAGGUAACACUGAAUGGAGGACCGAACCGACUUACGUUGAAAAGUGAGCGGAUGAACUGAGGGUAGCGGAGAAAUUCCAAUCGAACCUGGAGAUAGCUGGUUCUCUCCGAAAUAGCUUUAGGGCUAGCCUCAAGUGAUGAUUAUUGGAGGUAGAGCACUGUUUGGACGAGGGGCCCCUCUCGGGUUACCGAAUUCAGACAAACUCCGAAUGCCAAUUAAUUUAACUUGGGAGUCAGAACAUGGGUGAUAAGGUCCGUGUUCGAAAGGGAAACAGCCCAGACCACCAGCUAAGGUCCCAAAAUAUAUGUUAAGUGGAAAAGGAUGUGGCGUUGCCCAGACAACUAGGAUGUUGGCUUAGAAGCAGCCAUCAUUUAAAGAGUGCGUAAUAGCUCACUAGUCGAGUGACACUGCGCCGAAAAUGUACCGGGGCUAAACAUAUUACCGAAGCUGUGGAUUGUCCUUUGGACAAUGGUAGGAGAGCGUUCUAAGGGCGUUGAAGCAUGAUCGUAAGGACAUGUGGAGCGCUUAGAAGUGAGAAUGCCGGUGUGAGUAGCGAAAGACGGGUGAGAAUCCCGUCCACCGAUUGACUAAGGUUUCCAGAGGAAGGCUCGUCCGCUCUGGGUUAGUCGGGUCCUAAGCUGAGGCCGACAGGCGUAGGCGAUGGAUAACAGGUUGAUAUUCCUGUACCACCUAUAAUCGUUUUAAUCGAUGGGGGGACGCAGUAGGAUAGGCGAAGCGUGCGAUUGGAUUGCACGUCUAAGCAGUAAGGCUGAGUAUUAGGCAAAUCCGGUACUCGUUAAGGCUGAGCUGUGAUGGGGAGAAGACAUUGUGUCUUCGAGUCGUUGAUUUCACACUGCCGAGAAAAGCCUCUAGAUAGAAAAUAGGUGCCCGUACCGCAAACCGACACAGGUAGUCAAGAUGAGAAUUCUAAGGUGAGCGAGCGAACUCUCGUUAAGGAACUCGGCAAAAUGACCCCGUAACUUCGGGAGAAGGGGUGCUCUUUAGGGUUAACGCCCAGAAGAGCCGCAGUGAAUAGGCCCAAGCGACUGUUUAUCAAAAACACAGGUCUCUGCUAAACCGUAAGGUGAUGUAUAGGGGCUGACGCCUGCCCGGUGCUGGAAGGUUAAGAGGAGUGGUUAGCUUCUGCGAAGCUACGAAUCGAAGCCCCAGUAAACGGCGGCCGUAACUAUAACGGUCCUAAGGUAGCGAAAUUCCUUGUCGGGUAAGUUCCGACCCGCACGAAAGGCGUAACGAUUUGGGCACUGUCUCAACGAGAGACUCGGUGAAAUCAUAGUACCUGUGAAGAUGCAGGUUACCCGCGACAGGACGGAAAGACCCCGUGGAGCUUUACUGUAGCCUGAUAUUGAAAUUCGGCACAGCUUGUACAGGAUAGGUAGGAGCCUUUGAAACGUGAGCGCUAGCUUACGUGGAGGCGCUGGUGGGAUACUACCCUAGCUGUGUUGGCUUUCUAACCCGCACCACUUAUCGUGGUGGGAGACAGUGUCAGGCGGGCAGUUUGACUGGGGCGGUCGCCUCCUAAAAGGUAACGGAGGCGCUCAAAGGUUCCCUCAGAAUGGUUGGAAAUCAUUCAUAGAGUGUAAAGGCAUAAGGGAGCUUGACUGCGAGACCUACAAGUCGAGCAGGGUCG